rnacentral:lncRNA from 1 species
UUUUUAAGGGGUCGAUUUCAAAAGAGCUGCCCUCAAAGCACUUUGAACACGACCGCCGGUGCUCGGAAGGCGUCCCCACGUCCGAGACCACGGCGUGGAGCCACCGCUUCAGGAGGGCUUCGUUUCGGAGAGGGAAACCAUGGAAAGCGAUGGCGCUGUCCUCGCAGCCCCCGCUGGUGGCCUUCGGGCGACUCAGUGCCGAGCAAUAAACCAUCGCGAAGGCAGAGAUGGGAGCAGCUCGAAAAUAACGCGCCAGCAGGAGGGCGGAGGAGCGCCCAGCGCAGCUUUCGUUCCAAGCAGGCCCCAAUUCUCUGCGAAAAUCACGGACUUCAGAGCCGGGAAGAGCCGCGUCCGCGGGCCGCAGCCCCGCAGCACUCCGCUUCGCCGCUUCAGAGCAACGGAAACUCACCUGAAAGGGAAAAACCUUUUAAGCCAGCUUCAAGGAGCCGCGAGCACGCGGCUGUGCGCCGAGCGGACCUCCUGCAGCGUCGCGCCCUUCGCUCAGCGGCGCUUCCGAGAGGAACCGCGCACGCUCCGCCACAAAGCUCGCUCAGGGGCGCCGACAAAGGGCCAGAGCCGGAGAUCCCGCCCCCAGCCCGAUGUUUCGGGCGCCGCUGGGUCUCGUCCCGGCGCUGCGGGAUCGCGGCGGCCCUCAGCAGGGCUGUGCGAAGGCCGGCCGGCCCGACCCCGCUCACCGCCACCACGGCGCCGCCAUCUUGCUGCGCACCGCCCCCAUCGACCCGGUACGAGCCAAUCAGAACGCUCGGUGUGCGAAGCGCCACCCCGCCUCCCCUCGCCAUUGGCCUGCAGCUGCUUUGCCCCGCCCUCCCGCGCGCCGCACGACUAGAGCCAAUCAACGCGGGCACGUGCGGCACGGCCUCCCAGGGUUGGCCAAUGGCGAAAGCGGAGGGUUUUGAUUGGAGGAGGAGCGAGCGUGACACCACAGGAAGGAAGCGCCCACAGCCGGCUCGUUGCCAUAACAACCGCGGCGCGGCGCCGGCCGGCCAUGGGAGCCGAGAACCCGGUUCUGAUUCGGCCUCAGCUUCUGCAUUUCCGCCCUGCGAGGCUCAGCGCCACCGGGAGCCACGAGAAGCUUCUUUAUUAUCAAAAGGAACGCGACGUCGCGGCGCAUCCGACCCAGCACGCCCCUCCCCCCCUGAAAACACAGCAACGCAACGCCUCGGGGAGGACGUUCUACAAACGUUCACGCUGCCUGUUAGCAGGACUCAGAAAGUUGCACAAAACCCCCCCAGAGCUGCGACAGCACGGCAAAGCACGACGGAGAAGCGCCUGAAGGCUGCCCAGAAGGCACAGCUGCUGUGGGGUCACACGAGAACUGCCAGCACCACCACAGCAGCGGAACGCAGCCCUGCUCAGAGCUCACAGGGCUCCCUGUGCUCAGUACAGGAUAUUGAAGUCUCUUACGGAUCCGUUCCCAGGCUCUGA